rnacentral:rRNA from 1 species
CGUGGAUAACCUACCUAUAAGACUGGGAUAACUUCGGGAAACCGGAGCUAAUACCGGAUAAUAUUUUGAACCGCAUGGUUCAAAAGUGAAAGACGGUCUUGCUGUCACUUAUAGAUGGAUCCGCGCUGCAUUAGCUAGUUGGUAAGGUAACGGCUUACCAAGGCAACGAUGCAUAGCCGACCUGAGAGGGUGAUCGGCCACACUGGAACUGAGACACGGUCCAG